rnacentral:lncRNA from 1 species
UCCCGGUGCCCCCCGGUGCCCCCCGGUGCCCCCCGGUGCCGGUGCCCCCGGCGCGGGCUGGGAGCGGCCCCGCCCCCUGCCCACCGGCCCUUACCUAACGGGCCUCAUUUGCAUUCCUCCUGUCCUUCGCCACGCCAUUGGCCCAUCCACCCGCCUCGUUUGCAUAUCUCCCGCGGGGGAGGCGGGGCAUCGCGCAUCUCCGCAGGGGGCGAGCGGCGCUUCAUUUGCAUAUAGGCCCCGCCCAAAGGCCGCCUCGGCCCCGCCUCCCCCCCGGGCGGUGCAGGUGAGGGUCGGGGCUGCGGCCUGCGGGCUCCUCCCGGGCCGGUGCGGGCUCACCCCGGGGUCCCCGUCCCGUCCCCAGCCCGUCCCCAGCCCGUCCCCAGCCCGUUCCCAGCCCGUUCCCGGGGCUUCCGACCCGCCUGGCAACCUGCAGACCUCUGGGCUACCGGGGACAGGCAGAGGGGCCUGCCGGCAGUUCUGGCCUGAGCCCGCCGGUGUGGCUCGGCCUGUGGCCAGGCCUGCUGGGCCGUGCUGCCCUCGCCCGGUCCGGCGCGUUCCCAGUGAGAUUAAUUUAAAAAAAAAAAAAAGUCUCUGUGCAAAGUGGAGUAGCUAUUUUUAUUUGUUUAUUUUUGUGGUUUUCCCCCCACCACCAGGCCUGUGAGCUGGUGCGAGCUGAGGGAUGGCAGCUCUUCUCUUGUGGAGGGAGGGCCUUGCUCUUGAGUAUCACAGUUUGCUUCCUGAAAAUCAACCCAGAGCCGGGAGGAAGGUUACGUGACAAAGGUUCAUUACUUUAUAGUAAUAUUUCUCUUUCUGCCCCAUCCUUUUGUUUCCCUCUGUGGCUCCGGAAGAGCUUAAUCUCGCCGAGGUUGCAGCUGGGGAGACAUGGAGUGCUGCGCCUGUGGCUUUGUUUCUGGGGAUGAUUCUCCCAUUUUUUGCAGCAGAUGUGGGGCCAAGGUGGCUCCCACCAGCGGCACUGGGGACGAACCUUCAGAAAGAAGAGAAGCAGAGCUCGCUCCAGUUCCUGAUACAGGAGCAGAGGCUCGAGGAGAUGAGAAGGAAGAAGGUGCUGACAGGCCUUCUUCCACCACUGAGACAGAAGAGGAGGAAAGAUUGCUCCUGGAGAACAAAAGAGCUCUGUUCAGUUCCUCAGAGACCACACCUGAAUGCUCUGCAGGUGGGACUCCUUCCUCUGCUGUGACUCAGGACGAAGAGGGGUCGUCCCUGCUCGAAGAGGGGUCGUCCCUGCUCGAAGAGGGGUCGUCCCUGCUCGAAGAGGGGUCGUCCCUGCUCGAAGAGGGGUCGUCCCUGCUCGAAGAGGGGUCGUCCCUGCUCGAAGAGGGGUCGUCCCUGCUCGAAGAGGGGUCGUCCCUGCUCGAAGAGGGGUCGUCCCUGCUCGAAGAGGGGUCGUCCCUGCUCGAAGAGGGGUCGUCCCUGCUCGAAGAGGGGUCGUCCCUGCUCGAAGAGGGGUCGUCCCUGCUCGAAGAGGGGUCGUCCCUGCUCGAGGGUGUAACAGCUCCAAGCGAUGGCUCAGAGCCCACACCUCAGUGUGUGGCUGGUGAUUCUUCUCAGAAGUCACGGAAGAAGGUAAGGCUCUUUGUGGGUGCUGAGGAGCAGGAGUAGCUGGUAAGUUGUUGCUCUCUCCUUUGCAAACAGUGAAGCUGGGCUGCAUCACCCUGAAUCCUGUUGGGCUGCACCUGGGUGCUG